rnacentral:rRNA from 1 species
AUUGAACGCUGGCGGCAGGCCUAACACAUGCAAGUCGAACGAGUGGCGGACGGGUGAGUAAGGUAUGGGAAACUGCCUGAUGGAGGGGGAUAAGUACUGGAAACGGUAGCUAAUACCGCAUACUAUCGGAUGUGGCCAGAUGGGAUUAGCUAGUAGGUGGGGUAAAGGCUCACCUAGGCGACGAUCCCUAGCUGGUCUGAGAGGAUGACCAGCCACCCUGGAACUGAGCCACGGUCCAGACUCCUACGGGAGGCAGCAGUGGGGAAUAUUGCACAAGGGGCGCAAGCCGGAUGCAGCCAAGCCGCGUGUAUGAAGAAGGCCUUCGGGUUGUAAAGUACUUUCAGCGGGGAGGCGUUACCCGCUGAAGAAGCACCGGCUAACUCCGUGCCAGCAGCCGCGGUAAUAC